rnacentral:rRNA from 2 species
GUUGUUGGGUAGGGGAGCGUUCUGUAAGCCGUUGAAGGUGUGCUGUGAGGCAUGCUGGAGGUAUCAGAAGUGCGAAUGCUGACAUAAGUAACGAUAAAGCGGGUGAAAAGCCCGCUCGCCGGAAGACCAAGGGUUCCUGUCCAACGUUAAUCGGGGCAGGGUGAGUCGACCCCUAAGGCGAGGCCGAAAGGCGUAGUCGAUGGGAAACAGGUUAAUAUUCCUGUACUUGGUGUUACUGCGAAGGGGGGACGGAGAAGGCUAUGUCAGCCGGGCGACGGUUGUCCCGGUUUAAGCAUGUAGGCGGAGGUUCCAGGUAAAUCCGGUACCUUGUUAACGCUGAGGUGUGAUGACGAGGCACUACGGUGCUGAAGUGAUAAAUGCCCUGCUUCCAGGAAAAGCCUCUAAGCAUCAGGUAACACGAAAUCGUACCCCAAACCGACACAGGUGGUCAGGUAGAGAAUACCAAGGCGCUUGAGAGAACUCGGGUGAAGGAACUAGGCAAAAUGGUGCCGUAACUUCGGGAGAAGGCACGCUGAUAUGUAGGUGAAGCCCCUGCGGGCGGAGCUGAAAUCAGUCGAAGAUACCAGCUGGCUGCAACUGUUUAUUAAAAACACAGCACUGUGCAAACACGAAAGUGGACGUAUACGGUGUGACGCCUGCCCGGUGCCGGAAGGUUAAUUGAUGGGGUUAGCGGCAACGCGAAGCUCUUGAUCGAAGCCCCGGUAAACGGCGGCCGUAACUAUAACGGUCCUAAGGUAGCGAAAUUCCUUGUCGGGUAAGUUCCGACCUGCACGAAUGGCGUAAUGAUGGCCAGGCUGUCUCCACCCGAGACUCAGUGAAAUUGAACUCGCUGUGAAGAUGCAGUGUACCCGCGGCAAGACGGAAAGACCCCGUGAACCUUUACUAUAGCUUGACACUGAACACUGGUCCUUGAUGUGUAGGAUAGGUGGGAGGCUUUGAAGCGUGGACGCCAGUCUGCGUGGAGCCGCCCUUGAAAUACCACCCUUUAAUGGCUGGUGUUCUAACGUAGACCCGUAAUCCGGGUUGCGGACAGUGUCUGGUGGGUAGUUUGACUGGGGCGGUCUCCUCCCAAAGAGUAACGGAGGAGCACGAAGGUUGGCUAAUCCUGGUCGGACAUCAGGAGGUUAGUGCAAUGGCAUAAGCCAGCUUGACUGCGAGCGUGACGGCGCGAGCAGGUGCGAAAGCAGGUCAUAGUGAUCCGGUGGUUCUGAAUGGAAGGGCCAUCGCUCAACGGAUAAAAGGUACUCCGGGGAUAACAGGCUGAUACCGCCCAAGAGUUCAUAUCGACGGCGGUGUUUGGCACCUCGAUGUCGGCUCAUCACAUCCUGGGGCUGAAGUAGGUCCCAAGGGUAUGGCUGUUCGCCAUUUAAAGUGGUACGCGAGCUGGGUUUAGAACGUCGUGAGACAGUUCGGUCCCUAUCUGCCGUGGGCGCUGGAGAAUUGAGGGGGGCUGCUCCUAGUACGAGAGGACCGGAGUGGACGCAUCACUGGUGUUCGGGUUGUCAUGCCAAUGGCACUGCCCGGUAGCUAAAUGCGGAAGAGAUAAGUGCUGAAAGCAUCUAAGCACGAAACUUGCCCCGAGAUGAGUUCUCCCUGAGACUUUAAGUCUCCUGAAGGAACGUUAAAGACGAUGACGUUGAUAGGUCGGGUGUGUAAGCGCAGCGAUGCGUUGAGCUAACCGAUACUAAUGAACCGUGAGGCUUAACCUU